rnacentral:rRNA from 1 species
AGCAGCCGCGGUAAUUCCAGCUCCAAUAGCGUAUAUUAAAGUUGUUGCAGUUAAAAAGCUCGUAGUUGAAUUUCGGGAUCAGUUGGUCGGUCGUGCCUCGGUACGUACUGGUCAAAUUGAUUCCUACCUUCUGACGAACCACGAUGUCAUUAAUUUGGUGUCGCGGGAAAUCAGGACUGUUACUUUGAAAAGAUUAGAGUGUUUAAAGCAGGCUCGCGCUUGAAUACAUUAGCAUGGAAUAAUGAAAUAGGACGUUUGAUUCUAUUUUGUUGGUUUCUAGGAUCGACGUAAUGAUUAAUAGGGAUAGUUGGGGGCAUUAGUAUUCAAUUGUCAGAGGUGAAAUUCUUGGAUUUAUUGAAGACUAACUACUGCGAAAGCAUUUGCCAAGGAUGUUUUCAUUAAUCAAGAACGAAAGUUAGGGGAUCGAAGACGAUCAGAUACCGUCGUAGUCUUAACCAUAAACUAUGCCGACUAGGGAUCGGAUGAUGUUAAUUUU